GAGCCUGUAUUGGGUUCCAGUAUGAAUGAAGUUAUUGGUUAAUUUAUUUUUUAGUUUUUUUAUUGAAUUUUUUUUUCAAUAAUAAAAAGUUAUUGUUGUAACAAAACAAAGAUAAGUCUUCGGAAAUUUUAUUUUUAGAAUAACAAUGGUUGUUUUAAAAAGUUUUCUAGGGCAGAAUUUUAUAUAAUAAUUUAAAUCUAUUAAUAAUUUUUAAAAUUACUCCGGAGUUAACGGAAAAUCAUACCUAAUCUAGUUCUUAUAGUAAGGUAAGUUUUACAUCGAUGUUGUAUUUAAGUUUAUUAAAAAAGGAGAAAUUUUAAUUUUUAAGACUGUUCUUCUUUUAAUUAACUUAACGUGAUAUUAGUUUAAUUCAUUGUGAGAUAGAAUUGUUUAUCUUGUUUGUUACUGGGUUACAGUUUUAACAGUACGAAAGGAAAAUCAAAAAAAGUU
rnacentral:rRNA from 1 species